AUUGUCCACAUAAUAAUCCUCAUCAUUUUCAUCACUGUUGGGCUCCUCAGUCACAUAUCUAUAUUGACCAUAUACUCCAUGUGAAAUAGAUAGCAUGACAGCAUCUAAGUCCUAAUUAGAAUAAAGCAUUUCAAAUGUCAUUUGCAAUUGCACACUGGAACAAUCUCCUCUUAUCAGCAAUUAAAAUAGCAAGAUAUCUAGACAUGUUUCUCAAAAAUAUAUAUUUGAAUGUGUGUAUGGUCUUCAUGGUUUUAAAGUCGAAUAGAAGAUAAGGAUAUCACAAGAAAAUACUGAACAAAUUACUAGUAUUAAACUUACAGGGUAAGGCCAUAUGGUCUUCAUGAUCUUAAUGUCGAAUAAAAGAUAAAGAUAUCACAAGAAAAUACUGAACAAGUUAUUGGUAUUAAACUUACAGGAAAGGCCAUCACUCUCAAGCAUCCGUUGUUGUAACUUAAAAGAAACAAAGAACUGUCUUUUAACAACGAAUAGGUGGAAGCCCAACUUAUAAGUCCCACCGCCACCACAAAAAAAAAUUAAGUGUAUGUGUCAAAGAGAGCACGAAUAUAGCAUCACACAUAGAAAGAAACCACCAGUAAAGGCACUCAUCAUAUCAUAUAUUAGAACAAUGUCGAACUGAGUUCUGACAUCAAAUUUAUGUAGAUAACUGUCUUGAUUAUGCUGGUGGUGCAGACACCGGAGAAAAUAAAGAAAUAAGGGCAGGGAGAGAGAUAACAAAUUAAGUCUUCUUAGGAAUUGUGACCAGCUUUCAAUAUAUAGGUACCUUCCAAAACCACAUUAGUGUGUGAAUCUGAUUUCUUCUUCAUAUUGGCAAAGUCGAAUUGCUCAUCCCCUUAAUCUUGCCAACAAAUUUUAUUUUAGACACUCAAACUCUGGCUUGUUCUUACUGAGCACAAUAUUUUUGCGUGUAUUUUCAAGUGUCUAUUAGUUAGUUAAAUUAAUCACACAAAAAUCUUAGGUGAAGAGUACGUACAAACUUAGGCAAUAACAAUACUUUCUUGAUUUGUAAUUUAAGCUUUCUAGACUCAAAGGGCUAUUCGUUAUUCGUAGCCAAACUAUGUGUUUAACAGUAAAGCGGUUAGCUACAAUGUGUGCAUGUAGAGUUUCUGAUGGGGUUGUCCUGGGUCAAGCAUGCUCCAUGUAGUGCUAACCAGUUUUAGCAAAUACUUCAUUGAUAGCUUUGUCUUCUAAAUCAGUUUCUAGGUCCAAUAGUUUGCCAUACCAUUGUUGGAAAAAUAAUAAUUAUACUUUUCUCUAGAUUUCUCCGCAAAAGUCUAUUACUCUUUCAUACCAUGGUAAAGUGUUCCUAUUAGGCACUUCAAGCUCAAAUUUUGAAUUUUUUUUUGCAUGUAUUCUUAAACGUCCAUUAUGUAGACAAGUUAACCAUUGAUAAAUAAGUCAUCUCCUUUAAUUAUAUGUAUUAACCUUAUACAUCUAAAAUGUCGUUCGUACAACAUACCAGGACCCAGUAAUCGUCAGAAUGAUCUGGACAAAGAUUAAGGAUAGGCUUCAGGCCUUAAAUUGUUUGCACAACUCAUGUUUGUUUAAUAGAACUCGUCCCUUUUGCAAUGUCAAGCUUCAACAAAAUUCUAACCAACCUUAGGCCAAUAGAUGGUUUCAAAUAUUCCCUAGUGUCCAUGUAAACUUCCAUUCUCUCAUUAUAGAAAUUGCCAGAUUCAGAGCAUCACAGAGAAAUAAACUACUAAUAAACUAAUCAUCACAAUUCUCAACCCACACAUCCCAAAAAUUCAACAACACACAUCUACUAAUUUUCCACAUUUUUCAUUUAAUUUCACUAUAAGAAUAGUAGUAUAUAGUAUAGUUUAAUAAUCUUCAAAAACUAUAUAAUAUAUUUCAAAAAUUAAAAAGAAAAGUCAACUAACAGUGAUGACGAAGAGGAGCUCUUACAGAUCGCAUUACAAGAACAAGCACAACGGAAUAUCAAUUACCAUAAACCGGUUCGGAACUAUGCUCAACCGCCGUCACAGUCGAGUUUGAGAGCCGUCACCGGCAGUGGUGGUGGUACGGCGGAGAGGAAGAGCAGCACUAGUGUUGUUCCGAUGAUGCGGAGAUUAGUUGUAGCCGAUGAGUUUUAGAGCCCGUUUGGAUGAGCUUAUUUUUUUUUGGCUUAUAAGCCAAAAGUCAAAAGUUAGAAAUUCUAACUUUUGGCUUAUUUGUACCCUUUUUAGCUAAAAAUAAAGUGCUUUUAAGCACUUUAGAAUUUUAACCAAAUACAUCAAAAGACUUAAAAGUUAUUUUUGGCUUAAAAGCACUUAAAGUAGGCCCAUCCAAACGGGCACUUAGAG
rnacentral:lncRNA from 1 species